rnacentral:rRNA from 1 species
UACGUAGGGUGCGAGCGUUGUCCGGAUUUAUUGGGCGUAACGAGCUCGUAGGCGGUUUGUCGCGUCGGCCGUGAAAUCUCCACGCUUAACGUGGAGCGUGCGGUCGAUACGGGCAGACUUGAGUUCGGUAGGGGAGACUGGAAUUCCUGGUGUAGCGGUGAAAUGCGCAGAUAUCAGGAGGAACACCGGUGGCGAAGGCGGGUCUCUGGGCCGAUACUGACGCUGAGGAGCGAAAGCGUGGGGAGCGAACAGG